UUAUUUAAGCGGGCUAUCGUGCCGUGCUGGAGCCGGCCCUGUCCGAUUGACGCUUCUACUUGGAACUGCAUCAUCCACAUCCAUGGGUUCUGAUAUUUUUUAAAGACGAGGGUGGUGUAAACGGCGGACAGCACCCCGGUGGCAAGACAAGGAAGUGUGGUUUGAGGAGAGAAUAAGAGAAAUUACGUGAGAAACUGAAAUCCUGGGUCAAUACGGCUCAACAUUUUAUAUUGUUUUGGGAUGAGAAACCGGAUAAGGAUAGGAGAAAUCCAAUUUCCUAAUCAGAGGAGGCAAAAGAUUGCACAAAUACGAUCUCUGUUUGGAAAGUGUUCUUCGUUGUUUUUUUACACAUCUAUUUUCUAACCUAUUUUCGAAUGUUUUGUCUUUGUGUUAUUUAAAUCUGUGAAUUCCUAAAUCUGCCUGUUUGGAAAGCGCGUCGGUUUCAUCCCAACCCUAACACCUUGAGCCGCCCAAGUUGGUUUAUGUAAAUCUGCCUGUUUCGACCACCAAGUUGCCCCAGAGAAUCCACUUCCAAUUGCUUAUGAAGAUUGCUGGGCUGCUCUUCAAUGGGUUGCUGAUGCAUUGAACAACUUUUCAUAAAAUUAGUUUGAAGCUAGAUUGCAGUUGAUAGCCUUUGCCACAUUGCUAAAACCUUGUCCUUAUUAGUAUUGAUGCAUGGGGAAACUGGUAUUGGAGCUGAUGGGACAUUAAUAUUAAAUGAGUCACUGUUCAAUGGGACUGAAGAUCUUGUAAAACUUGACUUAUCUUAUUGCGGAGUGACAUCUAUUUAUGUUCUCAAACUAAGCACUGAUUCAUCUAUGAUUUGUGGCAUUCUUGAGCUGAACCUUUCAGGAAAUCCUAUUAUGCAAGAGGGUAGCAAUGUGUUAUCGUCAAUGCUUUCAAAUUCGCAUUGUUGUCUGAAAGUUUUGGUCCUUCAGAGGUGUGAGCUUGGAGUUGCUGGAGUUCUUCAAAUCAGUAUCGGUAUCCAAGAAAGUUAAUCCUGCUCAACAUGGUUCAGCAACUCGGCUUGAACUUGGUGAUAGUGCAGAUGAUGAAGUUAGAGUUGAAGCUGCUGCAUCUGGCGUCGAUGACAGCUGCAAAGUGCAGAGGUAUUGUAUUCUGCAUGGUCAAGAUCAAGAUAUGGUUCAGCUCGGAAGCAUAUCAAGGACCAGACAAUCCAUUUGUUCUUAGAGGGAAUGAAAUGUUGUGUGAAACCCUGCUGCAGAAAGGAUUAAUUUUCUUGCUUUGCUGCUACAAUAUCGUCAUCCAAGGGAAAUCACAAACAGUUUUGCCAAAGCAGCAGGACCUGGUUUGUGUCUUGCUUUCUUUGUUUUUCUUGGUUAUUUUUUGUUCAACUCAUAACUUAUCAGACAAUAUUUUGAUGAUGCAAGCAAAAGCCUAAAUGGGUUUCUUC